rnacentral:lncRNA from 1 species
CAGCCCUAGAGUCUUUACAGCAGCCAUAUAGACAGUGUCUCCUUCUCUUCCUAUCUCUCUGCUAGCCUCUCUUAGCCAUCAUCAGAAUGCUUCCUUGUAAAACAGUGACCAUAACUGUAGAGGUCCUGGUUGCUUUCCUGGAGGUGAAGCAAUAUUGGGGCUGCAGCAUUUCUCCUGCCGUCCUGAUCUCUGGGUUUACUUGUCUCUGGGGCUUCCCUAGGAUGGGGCUCCCCAGCCUCCCAUGUGUCUUGCCAGUCUCCCAAGCCAACCAUGCUCCUCUGGCAUGCAGCUUUUUACCGUGAUGGCACAGCAUAUCUCCCCCUGUGGAUAGAAGACAUUGUCUGCAACAAACCUAUCAGCAACACAUCCGAAUUUAGCAGAGUUCUGAAUUAAUACAAGCAACACACUUUUUAAAGCCAUUAGAGUGCAAGAAACACAUGCAGGUAGCAUCAAUGACAGUAAUAUCUGGUAUCCAGAUAUCUGACCUCCACCCCAACUCCUAUUCUCGUUUCUCAUCCUGACUUCUCAUCCAUAGGUGGCAGGGUGUAGAGUGCCAUCCCCAAGGUUGUGGGAUUUGUUCAAAUCUCACACAACAUCCAGCAGUUCUACCUCCUAAACUAUCUACUGUGUGAUAGCUCAUAGAAGAGGCUGGGGAGGAGCAGUGCAGGGAGCUUGUGUCUGUAUGAUGCCCUGCAAAGAGGCCUGGCCUUAACCAGCU